ncrna:unclassified sequences S15-Flavobacteria ribosomal protein leader
UAUAUUUGCGCGUCCAAUAAAUUAAUAUUGGUUACAUAAGAAUUAUUUACAAAAAUAUUGGCAUG